CCUACGGGGGGCAGCAGUGAGGAAUAUUGGUCAAUGGGCGGGAGCCUGAACCAGCCAAGCCGCGUGAGGGAAGAAGGUACAGCGUAUCGUAAACCUCUUUUGUCAGGGAACAAAGGCGGGGACUCGUCCCCGGCUGAGGGUACCUGAAGAAAAAGCAUCGGCUAACUCCGUGCCAGCAGCCGCGGUAAUAGGGAGGAUGCGAGCGUUAUCCGGAUUUAUUGGGUUUAAAGGGAGCGUAGAUGGGUUGUUAAGUCAGUUGUGAAAGUUUGCGGCUCAACCGUAAAAUUGCAAUUGAUACUGGCAGCCUUGAGUACAGUUGAGGUAGGCGGAAUUCGUGGUGUAGCGGUGAAAUGCUUAGAUAUCACGAAGAACUCCGAUUGCGAAGGCAGCCUACUAAACUGCCACUGACAUUGAUGCUCGAAAGUGUGGGUAUCAAACAGGAUUAGAUACCCGGGUAGUC
rnacentral:rRNA from 1 species